rnacentral:rRNA from 1 species
AUGCAGAGGAGACAAGAUCAACAACAAGAGAAGGAGAAGCAUGAAGAAGAGCAGGAGAGGAUGAGAUUUGAGAAAGAUAAGGAAAAAAUGAAGAUCAUGCAACAAGGUAUGCCUGACCCUGAUAAUGGUAGUGCUGGUAGUGGACUAGAGGCGAUACAGCAGCAAAAACUCCUCUCUGUUUUGCUUUCUCAAUUGACUCAUGGAGCUGCUUUGAUGGGAGGUAACAAUAUGAUCCAAGGAGGGGGUAGCAUGUUUCAGCAGCAGGUUGGUGGGGAGGCGAGCAGGGGGGAGCCAGCUUGGUCCAGAAUGGGGAUUCCUAGAGAAAUCAAUGGUCAAAUAUGUCAGCACUACUGA